GGAGUUGGCCAGAACAGAUUCUCGUUAUAAUUUUAUGAAAAAACUUUAAAUAUCAUAUCCGUGAUUUUACAGUUUCUCACUUUAGUACUCUAUAAUUUAAAGCGUAUAAAUUUAGUGUCCUAUAGUUUUAUUUGAUCUUUUUAUUAUUAAUUUCACUAAUUUUUUUCGUUGAAUCAGUAACAAGGUUAAAAUUAAAGGAUGUUAAAGUGAAUAUUCGAUAAACUUAAGUGAGGUAUCUGAUGUUUUUUUAUAUAUAAUUUAACGAAAUAUUAAUGGAGAAGCUAACGAAAAGAUAAAAAAAUGAAACCAUAGGACGCUAACUUGAUACACUUUAAACUAUAUAGUACUAAAGUGGAAAAGUGCAAAACUAUAGGGACGGUAUUUGAAGUUUACCCUAAUUUUAUAGCAUUCAAAAAAGAAAGUUUUAAAGUGCUUUGGAACUUUUUGGACUUAA
rnacentral:lncRNA from 1 species